rnacentral:misc_RNA from 1 species
UGGCUCUCGCAUCGAUGAAGAACGCAGCGAAAUGCGAUAAGUAAUGUGAAUUGCAGAAUUCAGUGAAUCAUCGAAUCUUUGAACGCACCUUGCGCUCCUUGGUAUUCCGAGGAGCAUGCCUGUUUGAGUGUCUUGAAGUCAUCAACCCCCUCGGUUUUGCGACCGGGGACGGUUGGAUUCUGGGGGCAUGCUGCCGAAAGGCUGCUCCCCUCAAACGUGUCGGUCGGGCCCGUCUCGGUUGUGCGUUGUACCAUCCUCGCUCUGGCCGUUGACCUGUUUGCGCCCCUCCAAGACCUUGCCUGCAGAGUGGCGGUCAAAACACUUUGAAAUCUGACCUCAAAUCAGGUAGGACUACCCGCCGA